rnacentral:lncRNA from 1 species
UGUUUGCGUGUUAGUUUUUAUGCAUUAACCCUGGAUUUCAUUAGUGAGUGAAUAUUGGUUGAGAUUAUUGGCGUUUGCUUGAACUUUUUUUUUUUUUAUCUUGAACUACUAUUCACACAUUAACUAUGGUCUGGGUCAUAUUGUUCUCUGACCUUCGGUUGGAUCUUUUGCGUUUGCUUGAUGUUGUUGUAACCGUGAUGUUUAUAAAUGCAAUGCACAGAUGACAAAAAAAGCUAUUACGUCUAUAGAUAUAAUUUGUUUUAUACCAGAUGCAUCAUGCAUAGUAAUACUAUUUUAAAGAUCAAUAUGUUUUCUUUUAUUAGUAAAGUGUGUUUGAAAUAAUACAAAAU